rnacentral:rRNA from 1 species
AACGAACGCUGGCGGCGUGCUUAACACAUGCAAGUCGAGCGAGAAAGGGAGCUUCGGCUCCUGAGUAAAGCGGCGCACGGGUGAGUAACACGUGGGUAACCUGCCUUUCAGUGGGGGAUAACAGUUCGAAAGGGCUGCUAAUACCGCAUUCGUCCACACGGUCACAUGUCUGUGUGGAGAAAGAGGCGCAAGUCUCGCUGGAAGAUGGGCCCGCGGUCCAUUAGCUAGUUGGUGGGGUAAAGGCCUACCAAGGCUUCGAUGGAUAGCUGGUCUGAGAGGAUGAUCAGCCACACUGGAACUGAGACACGGUCCAGACUCCUACGGGAGGCAGCAGUGGGGAAUAUUGCGCAAUGGGCGAAAGCCUGACGCAGCAACGCCGCGUGUGUGAUGAAGGCCUCG